AGCGAAAAUCAAUUAAUGGUAAAUUAUCUACCUUCCAAGUAGAAACUACGAGUUCAAUUCUCGUUUUUCGC
rnacentral:tRNA from 1 species